GAGAACAAGACAAGGCAGAAGUAAAAUGGAUGAGCCAAACAGGUCGUCUCUAACAGCUUACAUGAACUUUUCUGUGUGAGAGUUCGAACAAGUGAAGAUAUUCCUGUGCAUUCUCAAGGAGAAGAUGGGCUGUCAGCUGGCAAAAAAAAAACGUGUGUGUGACUUUUGCAGAGAUGAUGUGCACUCCAAAGGGAAGGCUAAGAUACUGAAGAUGAAGAGCGAUGGAAAGCAGAGAUAAAGAAAACAGAGGUGGAAAUGAUUAGUGACCCCUACUAAGGAGAACGAUCUUCAAACUGGAAAAGAGAGAAAAUCUCAAGAGGAAAAUGAACUUAAGAUAGAAGACAAGAUAUUUGAGAAUAUCCAGGAGCCAAAGGAGACAGUUUGAAGACGCAAAGGAGAGCAGCGAAGUGAUAGAGCGAUUUUCCUGAGGGGGCAGAAGGCACUCAUCCAUUUGUUCAUUCCACAAAUAUUUACUGAGGGCUUCUAGGAAGCUGAGAAGAAGAGGUCCCUGCCCUCACGCGGAUUACAUUCUGGUGGUCACAAGAAAGCCAGCAAGAAGGAAGUAAAGGAGAGAGUAUGUUAGGUGACCCAUGCUGCAGAGAAAAAUAAGGCUGCAGACGGAGGACGAGGAGCGCUGGUGGAGACUAUGUGUAUGACUUAAACAGUGACUAAGGAAGAAUUUCCUGAGAAGGUGACGAAAACUUGAAGGAGACGAAGGAGAGAGCCACAGAGACUUCUAGCGAAAGAAUGUUCUAGGCAGAUGAAUAGCAAGUGCAAAUAAUCUGAGCCUCAGGGAGCAGCAAGGAGGAUGGCUACGUAGAGGGAGCCAGUGGAAAGGUAGCAGCUCAGACCAGAGAGGUCCAAUGUGGGCAGGUCAGGCAGAGGUUUUAGGCCUUUGUAAGGAGUGUGGCUUUUUCUUCGAGUAAGGUUGGAAUCCACUGGAGGGUUGUGAGCUGAGGAGGGACAAGGUCUGAUAGCUUUUAAAGGAUCAUUUUGAGGCUGAGUUGAGGAUAGAUUGUUGGACGCUGUGUUAGUCAAGGUUCUGCGUGCAAUUGUGGAGGCUGGGUUGACCAGCAGGCUAGACACACAGGGAAGCAUUGAAGGUCACAUAUGAAGGCAGUCUGCCGGCAGAAUCCCCUCUUCUUUGCAGGUUACAGUAACCUUUAUAGAUAUGUGGGAGGACCCCUAGAGGUCUGUCUGAAGAUUGUUAAUGAAAAACCCAUCUUAUCAACUCAGGGGAAGGAAUGGAGGUGUACUUAAGAGCCAGGACACUCCAGAACAUUUCGUUUCUUUUUCUGACCACUACUUUUUAAUGUUUAUGGCAUAAUGCUAUGCCCUUUCAUUAUUUGGUAACUGCUGGAGAAUUUUUUGCCUUUUUAGAAACUAUUUUUGUUAAAUAGGUAUAAGAGAAAGUGGUUUUUUUAAUCCUCUGUCAUUUCACCAUAUUUAUCUGGAAACCUUUCUCAACUAUUUUUAAAGUUAGUAUAAAUUUGACCAAGAAAGUGUUUAAUACCAUCGAUAUUUCUAUCACAUAGCACAACUCAUAAAAUCUAUUCUUAGGCACUUAAUAGGUAUAUCAUUAAUUUUGCAGUCUUAUGCUACCCUGUAUCAUGAGGCUAUAUUUAUGUUUGUGUAUCCACAUACUAUGUAUCAAUUUCCUGGGUCAUUUACUAAUGGGGUCUCUGGUUAGAUUUUUGGAAUUUAAUAUUUUUAAAGCUGAAAGAGAUCUUACAGAUCAGUUGAUUCUCUCAUCCUUCAGAUGAUGCAACUGAAGCCCACGGAGAUCAAUUUAGAAAGCUGUUAGGUUUUUCAAGAGAUUGGAAACCUCCCAGGCUUUGUGAACAGCCACUCCUUCCCCGAUGCCCACCUCUGGCAUUAAGAACAGCUCCUCGUAUGAUCACAGAGAGAUCAAACCCAACAAGCAGUGCACUGCUGGUAGCAACAGUACGGAGAAGCUGCUGGUGGCGAGCAAAGAGGCUUUUCAUGUUUUCAAAGCAUCCCCUUCCGGACGACUUCACAAGCACACUGACUGGGUGCUCACUCGAGUGUUAGGUGCUGGGUUUCCUGUUAGGUGAAAAUGUGUAUGUCUUCCGAUUGGGCAGGAACACACAGAUGAGGGGAACAGAGCUUCAGAAAAGGAAUGCUCCUUCUACAGAUGUAAAACUACCUGAUUAAGAGAAUUUUCAGGUUUAAAAAAACUUAAUCACCAUUUGGAGAUCUGGGCUCUGAAUAAAGGUAAUAACUACCUUAUCUCCCUCUAAACAUUUUCUUUUGAUAUAAUGUGCCUUUUAAACUGUAUUUUUGCAAAAGUUCUCCCCUCCCCUGCCCCGCAAUGCUCUUGAGGGUUGAUUUUUCCCCCACUUUUUUGUAAGGAUGGAUGCUGUCAUCAGUACAAAUAAUCCAGCAGAGUCUUACUCAUCAGACUACUCUUUCUUGGUCCAAGAUGCUUUCAUUUGACAUUUAAAAUUGGAGACAUGAACACGCAGGUGACAGUCAG
ensembl:lncRNA